CCCUUAGAUGUUCUGGGCCGCACGCGCGCUACACUGAUGCAUUCAACGAGUCCAACCUUGACCGAGAGGUCCGGGUAAUCUUUGAAACUGCAUCGUGAUGGGGCUAGAUUAUUGCAAUUAUUAAUCUUCAACAAGGAAUGCCUAGUAAGCGUGAUUCAUCAAAUCGCGUUGAUUACGUCCCUGCCCUUUGUACACACCGCCCGUCGCUCCUACCGAUUGAGUGUGUUGGUGAGGAGUUUGGAUUGGCCUCGGAAGGUGGUUCGCCACCGUCCGUAGCUGAGAAGUUCUCCAAACCGCCCCACUUAGAGGAAGGAGAAGUCGUAACA
rnacentral:rRNA from 1 species